AUGAGGCCAAACUACCCAAAUGUCGAACGUAUUGAUGAAUCAAACAAGAAAGCCAUGCGCCUAAUGACAUUUGUUACUGCCGGCACAACCACGUCGAUUUUACUGUACCGAAAGAAAACACGCGAGAGAAAAGAAAGGAAGAAAGGGAUCGGGGUUUGUCUAUCGUUCCCUCUCCCACACGCCUCCUCACACGACCCCACCUCGCACCCCCGAUGUUGCGCCGACACCUCCUCCCCUUCUCUCACGGCCUCUAAGAUCAUCCACAAAUCCUCCCUCUUCCCUAAUCUCCUUCCUUUUGCCUCUCAAUCACGAAUCAGGAUCCAUGGAGGUGCCCGACAAGUGCUACUCGAUCUGCUAUACGGCAGCGGCGGGGAACACCGGCCGUCGGUCUGCCUCUCGCUGCUCAUCCUCCGGGAGGCUGCGCGCGGAUGGAACUCGUUGUUGGCGAGGUUCCGCGGAGUACCAAGCAGGUGCUCUUCGCCGGCGGGGACGAGCAUGACCUUCUCUUCCCCGACCUCUUCACCCCCAAGGGCACCGGCCCCAAGAAGAUCCCUAGGUUGCCCUACAAGCACAGAACCUAGAGUGGCGGCUGCGAGGAGGUGGCCGAUGGGGUUCGGCGACCGGACGGGGGCAUGGGCGUCGGUCUUCCUCCUCCUGCUCCCUGUCGCAGGCACGGCCACCAUCGACCAGAUCUUCACCACAACCCCUCGCACCACCUUGCCGCCGCUGUGUCCUCUAGGACUGAGCUGUGGGAGGAGUGCCUACGGAAGGCCACAGAGCACAGGCCAUCGCCCACGCCCUCUUCUCACUGCUGACCACCAAGUAUAUGAGCUCAUGGAUUCCGAGCUCGUAUCUACUGCUCCUAGAAUUUUGCAAAACGUUCGGCACCCAAUUCCAGCUCUUCUACGUGUGCGCAUGGAGAAAGGGAAUCGGGGCAAGCGGGGACCAUCGAGACGGAGCAUGCAGAGCAUCACUUUCCCGACUCCAGCGAUUUGUACAACGGGCCGCUCCGCUUUGGAUUAUGAAAUCUACGGAGUUGACUCGUUCGGUGCGGCUCAGCCGGCUCCCGUAGCGGAGUUGAGGAGCGGAGGGCUCCCGAACACCCCCUUAAUCUCUAUCUCCAUUCAACUUGUUGAUAUAGGCAAUGAAGUGAAGCUCUACGAACACCAUGUGGAUAAGCUCUUCACAAUGUUUGGACACAAAGAGCCAAAGAUCGACUAUUAUGUCUGCACCAUCAACAAGACGUUUGGCAAACCAGGCCAGGGCAUGACUUUGAACUUCCAAAUUAGAUCUAUAGUCUAUAAAGUGGAUCUCAUACGUCUUAGGAAAGCAUCAAUGUUAGAAGAUAAUGAAGUUGCUGAAAUUCUGAAUGAGAUAUCAGGACAAAUUGUUCGGUGCGCUCUUGCCAGUUCCUCAAAAAAAUUACAAAUUGUUCGGGGAAAAGGUGUUCUACAAGGCCCCACGCCCCUUGUCCCUUCCCCUGCUUCUCCACCGCCGCCUCUUUCUCUGCCAAAUCCACAUCACCGCCGUGCCCGUUGCUGGGACAGGACAGGGGUGGAUGCGAGGGAGAGAGGGGAGUUGCCUCGGCAGCGCCGCCUAGCAGUGUAUGAGAGCAGUCCACGGCGCAGUCACUGUCGUCCUCACCUUCUAGCCGUCUGUGAUGUCGUCGCCAUCGCCAAGCCCCCUCGCCACGCGGUACACAUAGAUGGGAGAAGCGGUAGGAUGCAGCAGCUCGCAGAUUCCUUGGUCGCUGCUGAUGCCAAGCAAGAAGACAAGGUGAUUCUGAAUCCGUGUCUUUCUUUUUGCCUCGUCCCUCCCAUGAAUUUUGCUUGGAUCUUGCUCGACUUGUGCCGGCGGUGGAUAUUACUGAAGCGGAGGCACCUUUCAUUUUUCAUCCUCUUCGUAGGUGGGAAGGCGAAGCGGGUUGGAGGAAGAAGCCAUGCAAACUUGGACAUGUCUCAGAAUCCCCCAUGUCAACAACUGAAAAUUGCAGCACAUAGUGAUUCAUUACUUCUUGAAUAUGUUGAGCUGUAUCCCUGUCUGGUUCUAUCUCAUGCCUUCCGCAACAAAGCAAAUGAAAUGGGCGCUCAAUAUAGCAACAAAGCAAAUGGAAUGGGCGAUUGCCAACUUGGCGCCGCCCAACUUCCUUUCAAGAGGCGCCACCAGGUGGCGCCCCAACCCCUAGUCUACAUCCCGAUCCACCCGUGCCCUCCACCAUCCCGCCGCCGCCGCCCCCAACCAUCCCACCACCGCUGUCGCACCCGUCAUCCCAUUGAUGCGGACAGCCCUCCACCCCGACCACUACCGCCGUCGCCCCUAACUACCCAACAGCAGCACUGGCAGCACCCCACUGACCCGGACCACCACCACUGUCGCCGAGCCACUCCACUGGCGACCACCCUCCUCGAAUGCCUUCCCUCGCCACCACUCUACUUCGCGAGAUUCCUCCCCCGAGCAGGCUUCCUCCCUAAGAAGAUGUUCCUGCUGCUACUACUUCUCCUAAUGAUCCUCGUGCAGAUGAUGGAGCCAGGAGUUCUUCAGAUGAGAUGGGUGAGUGCAAUGGUGUUGGUGUGUUCUUCGGAUGAGAUUGUGUCUGCAAUGUUGUUGGUGUGUUCUUCGGGUGAGAGAAGAACAAGUGCUGAUUUAAUCCUUCUGGACCCCAAUGAGGCUGAUAGCCUAAAUAAAUCUUUGCUCCAGAAUUUCUCUCAAAACAAAUACAUAGAAGGAUUACAUGGAUGCAUAUUAGGCUGUGCACUUGCCUUAUUGUUGGAAACAGAAAUGGAGCUCGGUCCUGUUAUUUUCUCUGUACUCUACCCUCAUGGACAGAAGAAUAGGUCGCCUCAGGGUAGUUUGAAAUGGGCCUGCCCGGUUAAUGUAGCUCCGUUUGUUUUUAGGGUUUGUAGCCGCCAUAGCCGAGGUGAUGUCCAGACGCUGCUGGUCACACCGGGCGCGAGCCGCAGACCAAAGAUAAUGUUUGAGAAAAUAGGGGCGGCGCCGGGUCAAGUGCGGGAGCAAAAUGUUGCCAUGGUAGCGAAACUGGACUAUUGA
rnacentral:rRNA from 1 species